AAGAUGCCACCUUAUCAUCUACCUCGGUAUUAUGUCUUAACCAUGCAUACGCUUCACGAAAAUCAUCAAAGACAUGCAAUCCAUCGUUUGAACGAGAUGUCAAAACAAUUGAAGGAGCAGAAUAAGCUUCUGCUGCCGCCCAUACACAAUGAACCACAUAAAAGCCUCCAAGUAAGAACAGCAGAAGAAUGGCGAUGACGGA
rnacentral:misc_RNA from 1 species